CGGUAUAUUUUAUUUGUUUACCGUUUGUGCUAUCUCAUUAGAAGGCAUAUAUUUUGUUUUGGCCACUCCCCUAUCUCCUGGUUGGCACAGAGCCCAGCUUAUGACUUAUGAAGCUUUCCGUUCAACCAAGCCUUCUGGGGCCCUCUAGGUCCUGAGCGGCCUCAACUUGCAGAGUAGGAAACUGGCUCAGAGAGGUGAGGUUGCUGGUCCAAGGUCACACAGAGACGGUCUUCUGCCUACCAUCCCCACCCCUACAGUUGCUAAAGGACACAGCCCCGUAAACCCGUGCACCAUCUCCUUACUCCUGCCCUUCGCAAACCCGUUCCUCCGACCUCUUCUCCGUCCGCUGGCAGGAGGGGUUGGGCUGCUUGAGCCAAUAGGAAGUCCCAAGGCGGGGCGUGGACCGCAGCAAGUUCGGUUGCGCGGAGACCGCAGCUGCUCCCUGUCACUGGAGCUAGCGUCUGUAGCGGCGGCGGCGACGACUUGCGGCGGCGGCGGCGAAGCGUUUCAGGUGAAGAAGCUCGAGGAGCCCAGCAGCAGGGAUUCGCCCGCGGCUGCUCGGUUAGGAGAUGGGGCUGGGCUCAGCUGCUACUUUCGCCGCUUUCAGCAGUUUACCGAGUGCACUCGCCGGGGGGCGGCGAGGAGUUUUGGACGCAGAAGCCUGGCUUUCCGGACCUGCCACGAAGGUCCCUCCCGGAAUGACCUGCUCUGUGCACCUUGAGUCGUUUCAUCUCGGGGGAGCUCGUUUCUCAUCUCACUAACGCUGGGAUUGCGCCUGCCUCUUUGAGCUGACAAGACCCGAGGGUAAGUCCUGUGCCUGAAUCCAGGUCGUGGGGUGGGUGGGUCUCCUUCAGGAGCAGCUAUCCAGGUUAGCAGUCCGGGCACGUCAGCUAUCAAGUGCGAUACAUAAUAAUGGCCAAGCUCUGAUUUUUGGAAAAUAUAAGCAGUCCUUGUCUGUUCCCAGUCUUUCUUGGUUUUUACUGGAAAAUGACAUCUGGGUCCCUCGCUGGCCCCAGUUGGCAACUGGUCAGCUUCAGCAGGAAGCCCGACCUCUAGAAGGGCGUGACUUGGGACGCGGGUCAUGGGGAGGGUGGCGAGGCUCCUCAGGACCCGAGGAAGCAUCUUAGGGCCGGGCAGUCUGCGCAGACCCCUUGAGUCAGCAUGGAAAGCAGGUGCUGGUGGUGAGGGACUCUGUCAGCUGGCUGUGAAAACACUGGGCACGCGUUCACACUGACCUCAGUCUGCCGUCACAGUGACGGGGGAGAGGUGGACUUGUCCCUUCUUUCUCUCGCGGAGUGCUCAGGCAGCAUCGCCCGUGUGACCGCCUGCUUUCCAGGUUUCUCCUCACACAGCUUCCCCCGAUGCACGGAGCCGGGUGCAUCUCCUCUGCUGCAAACCAGGGCCCUCUGGCCGGGGUCCACCUGACGAUCCAGUUCUGUCUCCUGUGCUGGCCCCAGGGAACAUUCCAGCCAGCUCUCCGACUAGCAUCGCCCCACCUCCACCCUGCUGCCCGCUGCCCUGGGGACUUUGUUGCUCAAGGACAGCUCUCCCCAGAGUCGAGUUCAGGGCUCAGGGUGAAGAUUUCUUUGGGGACUUUUUCUUGGGUUUCUACCCAGAGUAGCUGUUUUCCUCAGGAGACACUUCCUGACCCAGGAGUUGUUCUCCUUUCUGAGAUGUCCCCGCAGCUCCCUCUUGGGCCAGCAGCAGCCUCAAUUGAGUUUGCCCUAUUCUCUCUGCUUAUCUCAUCCUCCUGGUCUCCAUUGAUAGAGUUGAAUGUUAUUGCUCUUCCUUCCAUCCCUGCGAGGAGAGGUGGGGAGUUGGGUGAAGGUCUCUAACCACCGAUCUUAUGGAGCUGAGAAACAGGGAUCCGGAUCCGGAGAAGGCUGAUUAGCAGAAUUCAGUAUUCGGAUCCUUACCCCCUUGUGUGUCUUCCACCAAAUCCAUCAGUAGGAAGGGAAAAUUGGUGGCGAGAAGGGCUGCCUUCUCCCAGGUCAUCUAACUUGUUAAAGUUUGUUUGGUCUUCAGUCUCUAAGUCCCUGCUGAGUCUUGGAGUUUUGCUUAGUUACCACACUAAGACCCUCUGGUGGAAGGUUCUGCUCUGCCCUCCUCCUUUGCUAUAUCUCCUUGGUGAUUCUGAAUGUGGGCUUUUUGUUUUUUAAUCCUUACCUAAGGAGUGAGGAUAUUUUUUCCAUUGAUUCUCAGAGAGUGGAAGGGAGAGGGCAGGGAGAGAGAAAAG